rnacentral:rRNA from 1 species
UACGGAGGGGGCUAGCGUUGUUCGGAAUUACUGGGCGUAAAGGGCUCGUAGGCGGCCAACUAAGUCAGACGUGAAAUCCCUAGGCUCAACCUAGGAACUGCGUCUGAUACUGGAUGGCUUGAAUCCGGGAGAGGGAUGCAGAAUUCCAGGUGUAGCGGUGAAAUGCGUAGAUAUCUGGAGGAAUACCGGUGGCGAAGGCGGCAUCCUGGACCGGCAUUGACGCUGAGGAGCGAAAGCCAGGGGAGCAAACGGG